AAGAGUCCAGGGGUUCAGUUGAUCUUGGUAUGCUCACCUGUUGAAUGGAGGCCAUUUGAUGAGCAGAUGAGAGAAGUACAAGAGAGGUGUACAGGAAGGAUGAGAAGAAGGAUACUUCCCUGGAAUGAUGUAAGGCAGCAGCAUGAGCCCUUCUUUGACUUCACAAGAGGCCCCUCUUCCAAUCUGGCCAAGUGACAACUGGCAGUUUGAUGGGGGAACAAGGAGUAGAAGAGAACACGGACUGAUGCUACGUGGCUGAGAGGUGCCAGAGGACAUUUAGCUCCAGAGAAGUGGAAGUCUACAGAUAAUUUGAGAUGAAGAGUCAUCAACCAGGGACUAGGGAACUUCCUGUAGAUCAGGUGACAUGGUGCAGAAGAUUCAAGGAUUCAACCCGUAAGUGGUCAAUCUGGAUCCAUAUAUCAUUCUUCUUUCAUUCAGCAGCUAACAUAAAACAAUUUUAUGUAACUUUUUCAAAAUGUUGCUUAAUUCAAAGUGGGAGCUGUCAUAAUUUAGCACACGCCUUCUUUUCUGAAGGACGAUGCGGUCACUCAAUAUAUGUCUCAGGUCCCACUGUUCUUGGGUCAUUCCAUGUACUUCUGAAUAUGGUCCUUGGAUAUAAACAUUAUGAAUCUUUCUG